GUGUUUGAACCGAACCCUUACCAUAAGAUUUUGUUCCAAUCAAAACUGCACGUCUGUGAUCUUGCAAUGCACCAGCAACAAUUUCCGCAGCCGAUGCCGAAGCGCCAUUUAUAAUCACAACCAAAGGCUUGUUGUCUAAAACAUCGCCCUCUGAUGCAAAGAAUACACGGCUUGCAUUUUCUUGACGUGCCAUAAUAGAAACAAUUUCACCUUCAUUCAAAAAUGCAUCAGAAAUUUUUACCGCCUGAUCAAGAAGUCCACCAGUAUUGUUUCUUA
rnacentral:ncRNA from 1 species